rnacentral:rRNA from 1 species
ACCGGCCACGUACCAGAACGGUGCGUAUACGACGGUGACCAAACCCAUAAAUUGACCAGGAUAGUGACCGUAAUCCCAGGGGCAAGCGUCGAAUUGACGCAACAACAAGCCUGUGCUGAAUUCCCAGAUGUAAGCCCAGAUUAGGUAGAAGACUCCUCGUACGAGCAGCGAACAGCGAUCCUGCAAGCUUAAAUAAACCACCUCUCCGGUGAGCAUGGUGAAGCCGUAAAUGAAAGCCGCCCAAAUGCUGGUCAGACCGUGCAAUUUUCUGUUGCCGCCGUUGCGUUCGUGGGUUUCGGCUCACGAUUUGUCUGGUACGUCGGGAAAAAAGUCAAUUAUGAAUGUAAUUGAUCUGACUACCGUGCGUAACGGUAUUCAAAUGUGUGUUUGAUGGACUUUAUUUGCAAUCGGCGCUCAAUGUGUUUUCUUUUAUCGGUGGCGUCAAUGUUAGCCUCCCAUCCGACCCGUCUUGUAACACGGACCAAGGAGUUCAGUAGGCACGCGAGUCGUUGACGUUUUUCAUUGAACAGUCGAAGGCGAAAUGAAAGUGUUCAUGAAAAUGAACAGUACUUUUUUAUGGAGUGCUGUUCGCUUUCAACAUGAUCGUCCUUUUUUGUGCUUAAUUGUGCAAAAUUGAUGUAUGGGGACGCGCAGUGUGGUGCCGUUGAAUAGUCGCACUGUUCUUUCUUUCUCUUCGGGGUUGGAGGAACAAUUGUCGAUCAGUCGGUUUCGGAGCGUGCACACUGGUACCCGAAAGAUGGUGAACUAUGCUUGAGCAGAAUGAAGCCAGAGGAAACUCUGGUGGAAGUUCGUAGCGGUGUUGACGUGCAAAUCACUCGUCUGACUUGAGUGUAGGGGCGAAAGACUAAUCGAACCAUCUAGUUGCUGGUUCCUUCCGAAGUUUCCCUCAGGAUAGCUGGCAUUUGUUUGUAACAAUUUUAUCCGGUAGAGCGAAUGAUUAGAGGUGUUGGGAACGCAAUGUUCUCAGCCUAUUCUCAAACUUCGAAUGGGUAAGCAAGGCGUUUUGCUUUGAUUUUACGAUGAAAUCGCCCAAUUAGAAUGCAUAAAUGCCUAGUGGGCCAAUUUUGGUAAGCAGAACUGGCGAUGUGGAAUGAACCAAAAGUCAGGUUAAGGUGCCAGACAUUGGCGCUCAUGAAAUACCAGAAAAGGUGUUGGUCGAUAUAGACAGCAGGACGGUGGCCAUGGAAGUUGGAAUCCGCCAAGGAGUGUGUAACAACUCACCUGCCGAAUCGACUAGCCCUGAAAAUGGAUAGCGUUUGAGCGCCAGGCCCAUACCUGACCGUCUCAAUUACGCACUUUUUUUCGGAAAAGGUGUAAUGAACGUUGAGACGGGUAGGAAGGUCGCGACAGUGUUGCUUUGAAGAGUUUUGAGCGUGAGCUCGCUCGGAGCCGCUGUUGGUGCAGAUCUUGGUGGUAGUAGCAAAUAUUCAAGUGAGAACCUUGAAGGCUGAAGUGGAGCAAGGUUCCAUGUGAACAGCAGUUGGACAUGGGUCAGUCGAUCCUAAGAAAACGGCGAAAGCUUGUUCGAAUUUGCGACAUGAAUUGUAAGACUGUGUGUGUUUAUUGUGUGUGCAGUUGUCGUAUGUUUUCGAAAGGGAAUCCGGUUGAUAUUCCGGAACCGAGUAACGGAGACAAAGAGUAGCGCUUUAAUCUCUCUGUGGGGUUGGCGUUCAACUCAAUCGCGCGGUAACGCAAGCGAACUCGGAAAAUGACCGUCGUGAGUUUCGAAAAGAGUUUUCUUUUCUUUUUAAGGGACGCAUUCCCUGGAACCGGGUUGUCCGGAGAUAGGGAUUCUGGUAUCCAUAAAACGCCGACUUUUUCACGGUGUUCGGAGCGCUCUCGUCGGUACGUGAAAAUCCGAGCGACGCCUGGUAAAUCUCGUACUUGGUCGUACUGAUAUCCGCAGCAGGUCUCCAAGGUGAAUAGCCUCUGGCCGAUAGAAUAAUGUAGGUAAGGGAAGUCGGCAAAACGGAUCCGUAACUUCGGAACAAGGAUUGGCUCUAAGGGCUGGGCCGAUCGGGCUGAGGUUUCAAGCGUGCAGUGUAUGCUUGGCUGAGUUGUGUUGAGGACUUGUUCACUUGCCGCCGUUUGUUCGGUUGGUCUAGUGUAUUCGAGUCUGAAGCAGAGCUGGCCGACAGACCGGCACGUGCAGAACCUGAGCUGCGCGGCUGUCCGUUUACGUGUACAGACCGUUUCGGUCGGCAUUCAACAGCCAACUUAGAACUGGCACGGACACAAGGAAUCUGACUGUAUAAUUAAAACAAAGCAUUGCGAUGGCCGAUGAUCGGUGAUGACGCAAUGUGAUUUCUGCCCAGUGCUCUGAAUGUCAAAGUGAAGAAAUUCAAUCAAGCGCGGGUAAACGGCGGGAGUAACUAUGACUCUCUUAAGGUAGCCAAAUGCCUCGUCAUCUAAUUAGUGACGCGUAUGAAUGGAUCAACAAGAUUCCUUCUGUCCCUAUCUACUAUCUAGCGAAACCACAGCCAAGGGAACGGGCUUGGCAAAAUCAGCGGGGAAAGAAGACCCUGUUGAGCUUGACUCUAGUCUGACUCUGUGAAGAGACAUGAAAGGUGUAGCAUAGGUGGGAGAUUGUCAAAUUGCCAUCGUUCGCGCGGUGGUCCGGUGAUCGCCAAUGAAAUACCACUACUUUGAUCGUUUCUUUACUUAUUCGGUAAAGCGAAAAAAUUGUGGCCAAUUUGGCGGUGUUUAUGUCGCUGUUGGUCAUUGUUUUCAUGUUAGAUUGAAGCUUUGUUUACAGCCGUCGCUUUGUGUCGCCAUUUGACGCAUUGUUGUACUGGGUUAUCCCGGUGUGUGGUGUAGUCAGUAUGGAUGAUCGGCGAUAGGUUUGAAGUGAU